GAGGCCGCUAGCUGAGUGGACGAGCGUGAGGAUGAAUACAACAUUAUGAUUAAAUAUGGGUGAAGAUAAUGCAGAACAACAUUAACGCCACUAUUAAUUUCAUCACUGUUCGUUUACAUCCAUCAACAUUGCGCAAUACGUGGCGCCAUGUUCGACCAGGAUUCCAGGGUGAUCCAGAGCGCCUUCCUGCACGCCAUCCAGCACUACAGUCAAAACACCGCGGGCAGGAGGCUUCAGCUUCACGCCUUUGUGGGCAUCAUCAGUAUGGCGGAUGCCUUCAAGAUCUCCAGACUGAAGUUGCGCAGAAUAGCGGCGGUGUAGACCUCGGUGGUGGUGACGGCGCUGGUGGUGGACCGCUGGUGGAGGAAGAGCCGGGCGAGAAGGAAAUUUGUGCUCGGCUUAUUAAUUAUCAUUCAACUUUAAAUUCACAAGCCAU